rnacentral:snRNA from 1 species
UCUCUUGGGCACAAGGAAA